rnacentral:sRNA from 3 species
UAUCUCUCCGUACGGGGAAGGAUGAGAAGCUUCGACUAAGGUUUGAUUCGAGCGCAGCGAGAAAGCGUUGCCGCAGGCAACGACCCGAAGGGUGAGGAGCGGAGCGACGAAUAAUCCUUCCCCCACCACCA